rnacentral:rRNA from 1 species
CCUACGGGAGGCAGCAGUGAGGAAUAUUGGUCAAUGGACGAGAGUCUGAACCAGCCAAGUAGCGUGAAGGAUGACUGCCCUAUGGGUUGUAAACUUCUUUUAUCUGGGAAUAAAACAGGGUAUGCAUACCCUCUUGUAUGUACCAUAUGAAUAAGGAUCGGCUAACUCCGUGCCAGCAGCCGCGGUAAUACGGCGGAUCCGAGCGUUAUCCGGAUUUAUUGGGUUUAAAGGGAGCGUAGGUGGAUUGUUAAGUCAGUUGUGAAAGUUUGCGGCUCAACCGUAAAAUUGCAGUUGAAACUGGCAGUCUUGAGUACAGUAGAGGUGGGCGGAAUGCGUGGUGUAGCGGUGAAAUGCGUAGAUAUCACGAAGAACUCCGAUUGCGAAGGCAGCUCACUGGACUGCAACUGACACUGAUGCUCGAAAGUGUGGGUAUCGAACAGGAUUAGAUACCCGUGUAGUC